UUGCAGACAGUCAAGCUGACCAAGUUCCUUUCCACAUAGAGACUUAGCAAGCAAAGGCUGCAAAGAGUGGCCUCCCUGGGAGUGCAUGCAGCCUGUUGCCUAGGCAGGUAGCCUAAGAUAACUUAUAGACAAUU